CCUACGGGAGGCAGCAGUGGGGGAAUUUUUGGACAAUGGGCGCAAGCCUGAUCCAGCAAUGCCGCGUGCAGGAUGAAGGCCUUCGGGUUGUAAACUGCUUUUGUACGGAACGAAACGGUCUGCCCUAAUACGGUGGGCUAAUGACGGUACCGUAAGAAUAAGCACCGGCUAACUACGUGCCAGCAGCCGCGGUAAUACGUAGGGUGCGAGCGUUAAUCGGAAUUACUGGGCGUAAAGCGUGCGCAGGCGGUUAUGUAAGACAGAUGUGAAGUCCCCGGGCUCAACCUGGGACCUGCAUUUGUGACUGCAUAGCUAGAGUACGGUAGAGGGGGGAUGGAAUUCCGCGUGUAGCAGUGAAAUGCGUAGAUAUGCGGAGGAACACCGAUGGCGAAGGCAAUCCCCUGGACCUGUACUGACGCUCAUGCACGAAAGCGUGGGGAGCAAACAGGAUUAGAUACCCUGGUAGUCCACGCCCUAAACGAUGUCAACUGGUUGUUGGGUCUUCACUGACUCAGUAACGAAGCUAACGCGUGAAGUUGACCGCCUGGGGAGUACGGCCGCAAGGUUGAAACUCAAAGGAUUGACCGGNNGAGAGNGCGACGACGACGACGAGGGAGGAGG
rnacentral:rRNA from 1 species